AGUAGUGGUGGCGGCGGCGGCAGCGAAAGUAGUGGUCCACGUGGUCCUCGUCGCAACUCUCGUGACUAUGACCGUGGGUACGACCGCGGGUACGACCGUGGAUACGACAGAGGGGGCUGUGACCGCUAUGAUGACAGGGACCACUACAGAUCAUACAGAAGGCGAUCUCCGUCCCCAUACUACAGAGGGGCUUACAGGUCUCGGUCCAGAUCGAGGUCUUAUUCUCCUCGUCGCUAUUGAGCAUUGCUGUCAAGCCCCUCCCACAGACGGACAGGAAAUGUUUCUCAGUGGAAUGAUUGAUUUCACAAUAGAUCUUCUUUCUUAAGGAGAUCUUCAUACUUCUGUUUGCUAACGUAUAUAUGACGAGUAAAUGUAUACUGGGAUCAGUUUUGAAGCAGUAUCAUUUGACAUGACUAAGCUGUCCUCUCAUGUUUUUAAUUUUAAAUGUAUAGGCAACAACUGCCAUUAAAAAAAAUAUAUAUUAAUGUUUUUAUUAAUGUAUUUUUUGUACACGAGUGAACAUUCAUCUUUGAACCGAUUAAAAUAAAUAUGCUUUUUUUUUUCA